ensembl:lncRNA
GCGACCCCAUGAAUCACAGCACGCCAGGCCUCCCUGUCCAUCACCAACUCCCGGAGUUCACCCAGACUCACGUCCAUACACAACUUUGCCUCUUUCUUGUCUUCAGAGUGGAGAGCAGCUGGACCCCCACUUUGGGUAACAAUAUUAGUUGCUUCAAACGCCUUCAAUCCAAGUUUAAUCACCUGUGCCUUUUCACCAGGGUAUGUCUCAGUUGUAAACACACAAGGCAUGAUGACAACUUUGAAUUCCACAAAGAGAUAAAGGCAGACUUCAGCUCUCAGCAAUGUGCAGAAGGAGACGUCCCUUUGGAGAUGAGGAGGCAUGGGAUUCCCCGUCCAGCUUUCUUCCCUACUGGCUUUCUGAUAGAGAUAAGAUGCUUCAUUUUUGACUGUUAAGGUUCCUGGACUACAAAAUUAAAAGUUGAUGGGCAUGGUAGUUCCCAAACUUACAGAAGCCCAAUUCAAAUUCUUUGCAUGCCGUCCCCCAAAUGAUGAAGCAAGGUGAAGCACAUAUUUAAAAAUCCUGAGGAGGAUUCCUAACAGAGCCACAAAACUUGUAUCUUUUCCAGAAUUCUCUUGUUAAAAAAUAAAAGAAUAGAAAACUGCCUAUUAAAUGGCAAGGAAACCAUCUCAGAGGAAAUGAAAGGCUUGGUUCUCAAG